AGCCUAUCAAAAUGAUGAUACCACGUGAGAUUCGCUCUGGACCUUUUGGAGGGAAAAUAUGACUUGGACGCCUUAGCCUGUCCUGGAGGACGAAAUUAUGAUAAUAAUACUAAUCAACUUGCGAAACGGCGAAAGUUAACAUAGAAAUAAUUUCUAUAACACUUAGAAACGUAUCUUGAAUAUAUUCUUGUUUACCAAAAUUAAACCUGACUGCGAUGUCGACCAAUGUGUGAUACUCUUAUGUAUUGGCCAAUAGGCCUACACUCUUGAGGACCUACUGGGUUACCUAUAACGACGAGAAUUAAAGUCAACGCUGCGUGAUAAUGUAACAACAAGAAGUUUUAUCGUCAAAAACAUGGGGGUCAUCCUUAUACAUAUUUUCUUCUGCUUACUGGCCUGGGGUUUGGUUUACGCCGGUGAAAAUGUGAAUAAUGUUAAUGCUGGAUGUAAUGCUACACACACGUCUCGUAUAGAAUACGAGUUCAACACUGAUGUAGUAAAUACGGAGCACAUUAUUAUGUACAAAGGUUAUUUUCCUAGAUCAACAAGGGAAAACUACAUUAACGCGGCAUUAAAAAACGCUGGGAUUUCAAACUACACAUUAGUGCAACGUAACAAUCCUGCCAAGGAGUACCCAAGUGACUUUGAUGUAAUUAUUUUGGAAGAGGGUGGUCGACGCGCGCUGGAUGCCUUGCGCGACCAUCCAGCCGUCCGACGCGUCACCGUUCAGAAGCAGGUCCAGCGGACUAUCAAAUAUGUGAACGAGGUAAAUUAGUAAAUUUACCUCUCCUUAUUCACCCAGGUUCUUACAAUAACAAUCGUUCGUCAGUUUUCUAUAUC